CCUACGGGCGGCAGCAGUGGGGAAUAUUGCACAAUGGGGGAAACCCUGAUGCAGCGACGCCGCGUGAGUGAAGAAGUAUCUCGGUACGUAAAGCUCUAUCAGCAGGGAAGAAAAUGACGGUACCUGACUAAGAAGCCCCGGAUAACUACGUGCCAGCAGCCGCGGUAAUACGUAGGGGGCAAGCGUUAUCCGGAUUUACUGGGUGUAAAGGGAGCGUAGGCGGCAGGACAAGUCUGGAGUGAAAUCCCGGGGCUUAACCCCGGAACUGCUUUGGAAACUGUGAGGCUGGAGUGCAGGAGGGGUCAGCGGAAUUCCUAGUGUAGCGGUGAAAUGCGUAGAUAUUAGGAGGAACACCAGUGGCGAAGGCAGCUUACUGGACAGUAACUGACGUUGAGGCUCGAAAGCGUGGGGAGCAAACAGGAUUAGAUACCCCUGUAGUC
rnacentral:rRNA from 1 species